rnacentral:rRNA from 1 species
UACGAAGGGGGCUAGCGUUGUUCGGAAUGACUGGGCGUAAAGGGUGCGUAGGCGGUUUAAUAAGUUUGGUGUGAAAGUCCUGGGCUCAACCUGGGGAUUGCACUGGAAACUAUUAGACUAGAGAUCGAGAGAGGAAAAUGGAAUUGCGAGUGUAGAGGUGAAAUUCGUAGAUAUUCGCAAGAACACCGGUGGCGAAGGCGGUUUUCUGGCUCGAUACUGACGCUAAGGCACGAAAGCGUGGGGAGCAAACAGGAUUAGAUACCCUGGUAGUCCACGCUGUAAACGAUGAAUGCUAGAUGUUGGGGGGGCAACCUUUCAGUGUCGUAGUUAACGCGAUAAGCAUUCCGCCUGGGGAGUACGGUCGCAAGAUUA